AUUGAACGCUGGCGGCAUGCCUUACACACGCAAGUCGAACGGCAGCGCGGACUUCGGUCUGGCGGCGAGUGGCGAACGGGUGAGUAAUACAUCGGAACGUACCCUGUUGUGGGGGAUAACUAGUCGAAAGAUUAGCUAAUACCGCAUACGACCUGAGGGUGAAAGUGGGGGACCGCAAGGCCUCACGCAGCAGGAGCGGCCGAUGUCUGAUUAGCUAGUUGGUGGGGUAAAGGCCCACCAAGGCGACGAUCAGUAGCUGGUCUGAGAGGACGAUCAGCCACACUGGGACUGAGACACGGCCCAGACUCCUACGGGAGGCAGCAGUGGGGAAUUUUGGACAAUGGGGGCAACCCUGAUCCAGCAAUGCCGCGUGUGUGAAGAAGGCCUUCGGGUUGUAAAGCACUUUCGUCCGGAAAGAAAUCGCGCUGGUUAAUACCUGGCGUGGAUGACGGUACCGGAAGAAUAAGCACCGGCUAACUACGUGCCAGCCGCCGCCGUAA
rnacentral:rRNA from 1 species